CCUACGGGCGGCAGCAGUGGGGAAUAUUGCGCAAUGGGCGAAAGCCUGAAGCAGCGACGCCGCGUGAGGGAUGAAGGUCUUCGGAUCGUAAACCUCUGUCAGCAGGGAGGAACGCUCCCUGUGCUAAUCAGCAGUGAAUUGACGGUACCUGCAAAGGUAGCACCGGCUAACUCCGUGCCCGCAGCCGCGGUAAUACGGAGGGUGCGAGCGUUAAUCGGAAUUACUGGGCGUAAAGCGCUCGUAGGCGGUAUGUCAAGUCAAGGGUGAAAUCCCCGCGCUCAACGUGGGAACUGCCUUUGAAACUGGCAAACUGGAGUGUGGGAGAGGAUAGUGGAAUGCCAGGUGUAGGGGUGAAAUCCGUAGAGAUCAGGAGGAACAUCAGUGGCGAAGGCGACUAUCUGGCACAUAACUGACGCUGAGGAGCGAAAGCGUGGGUAGCAAACAGGAUUAGAUACCCCAGUAGUC
rnacentral:rRNA from 1 species